GAUGAAGAACGCAGCGAAAUGCGAUAAGUAAUGUGAAUUGCAGAAUUUAGUGAAUCAUCGAAUCUUUGAACGCACAUUGCGCCCCUUGGUAUUCCAUGGGGCAUGCCUGUUCGAGCGUCAUUUGUACCUUCAAGCUCUGCUUGGUGUUGGGUGUUUGUCUCGCCUCUGCGUGUAGACUCGCCUUAAAACAAUUGGCAGCCGGCGUAUUGAUUUCGGAGCGCAGUACAUCUCGCGCUUUGCACUCAUAACGACGACGUCCAAAAGUACAUUUUUACACUCUUGACCUCGGAUCAGGUAGGGAUACCCGCUGAACUUAAGCAUAUCAAUAAGCGGAGGA
rnacentral:misc_RNA from 1 species